rnacentral:rRNA from 1 species
AUGAAUUCAGGAAGUCACUCGCAGACGUUAGGGAGAUUGUAUGCCUGGGAGAAGAAACUGUAUGAAGAAGUUAAGGCCAUAGAUCAAAUUCGACAAGAGAAGAAUUGUGUGCAGCUGAGGAACGAAGACGCCAAAGGUUCAGAGCUGCGUUGUGCUGGAAGAACCAGGACAAAUGUCCUGCACUCCUGCUUCGCGAGCUACGUCAGUGCUCAGAAGGCAUACAUCAAAGCCCUUGACGCCUGGUUAUCCAAGUUCAUCCUGAUGGACACCAUCCGUUACUUACGGAGGAUCUCCUUGAUCGCGCCGGACAGAGCCGACGCGCCGCCCCUGGUGGUGAUCUGCCACAAGUGGCACACCACACUGUCGAUGACCAGAUCCUCCUCACCACUGACUCCGGCAUAG